AAUUUUAAAUUUUUAUUUUAAUUUUGGAUUCAAACUUUAAAUUUAAAUUCAAAUUUUAAAUUAUUUUGAAAUAAAAUUUAAUAAAAAUUAUUAUUUGUAAACAAUAAAAUAAAUUUACCAAACAGAUUUACAAAAUUAUUUUAGAAAAAUCGCUUUUUCAUGGAAACUCAACCAAUUACAUUACAGCUUUUAACCAAAAUUAAUUCCCUUAACCAAAAUUAAUUCCCUCUCCAAACCAAAAUCAAUUAUGUAGAAAUUAUUUCUAACCAAAAGCUAAGCCAAACAGGC
rnacentral:lncRNA from 1 species